AGUGAACGCUGGCGGUAGGCCUAACACAUGCAAGUCGAACGGCAGCACAGUAAGAGCUUGCUCUUACGGGUGGCGAGUGGCGGACGGGUGAGGAAUACAUCGGAAUCUACUUUUUCGUGGGGGAUAACUUAGGGAAACUUACGCUAAUACCGCAUACGACCUACGGGUGAAAGCAGGGGAUCUUCGGACCUUGCGCGAUUGAAUGAGCCGAUGUCGGAUUAGCUAGUUGGCGGGGUAAAGGCCCACCAAGGCGACGAUCCGUAGCUGGUCUGAGAGGAUGAUCAGCCACACUGGAACUGAGACACGGUCCAGACUCCUACGGGAGGCAGCAGUGGGGAAUAUUGGACAAUGGGCGCAAGCCUGAUCCAGCCAUACCGCGUGGGUGAAGAAGGCCUUCGGGUUGUAAAGCCCUUUUGUUGGGAAAGAAAAGCAGCAGGUUAAUACCCCGCUGUUCUGACGGUACCCAAAGAAUAAGCACCGGCUAACUUCGUG
rnacentral:rRNA from 1 species